GUUAUAUGUUUGUCUUGUUAGCAGGACAAGACCAAAAGUCCUAGGUACAUAAAGAAGGUGUGUGGAAGUGAUUUAUGAAGGAAAUAUAUAUGUUUACUUGUUGGUUUCAAGUUUGUUAUAAAAGGUUUACGGGAAUAGAGGUUUCAUUCCUUCUGAUUUUAAUUCUACAAGACAUCUCUGUUAAUUGACUUACAAAAAGUUUUAAAUAGUCUUAUUUAUAAUUAUAAACCUAAAAUUAUAAAGAGAUUAUAAUUCCUUUGGGCUAAAUAUAUUUGAGUGCACCCUAGUUUUAGAAAUUGUCUUAUAUCUUUGUUUUUUGUCCAAUCGUACAGCUGUUUUGUUUAUAGAUAAAGGUUAUUAAGUUCAAGGCAUGCUCCCCUUGGUGAACAAAGGAGCAGCCGCAUGGAAAUAUUUUCCAGUCUUUGUUCACUAGGGGGACCUCAACAGUUUUCAUCUUACAACAGACUGACCCGAUAGUUUUCAUAGCCUUAUAAAAGACUUACAGGAAUAAAUAUUAUUUAAAUAUAUUAUUAUACUGUUUAUAUCAAUUGUCAUCAAAGGGAUAAAUUCUAAAUAUGUUAUUAUGGUGUGCUUACACUGGUCAUUUUCAAAGGACUAAAUAUCCUGUAAAAAACAACAAUAACAAGGUUUUAUUUUUUCUAGUGUACUAAAUGUAUUUGUACUUUCUGACUGUACAGGUUUUCUAAUAUUUGUUUAUGAUAAUAAGCUCUUUUUGGUUCAGGUAUUUGCCUUUCCAUACACUCUAGCUAUUUAUGAUAACAGAUACAUAUAUGGGCUAUUUUCUUUAGAUGGUAUCCUAUCAAAAGAUUAUUUAUUUAUUUGUUUUUUAAAGAUAAUAAUUUAGGUAAAAACUUUUGGUGUUUUUAAAAAAUGAGUACGUUUAACAAUGGCUAUUUUAUAUCAAGAUGGACAUUUAAAUGUGUUACAAAGGUAAAGUCAUCAUAAUUGUCAUGUUAAAAUAUUAUUUGUGGCUCUUUUUCUGUUAAUAUUCUACAGGAAUUCAACAACUAAAAAACAACCAUGACUGAUAACAGUAAGAGCUCUCUAUAUUUUAAAUUCCAAAAUGCUUGCUAUUCCGGUAAAACUAUAAUAGUUAAGUUCAUUAUUCUUGUUACGAUGCUAACGCUAUUGACCUUCUCUUCUGGAUGUUCAACAACUAAAGUUUGGAGACCAGAACUAAAAGGUAACUGGGCUAUGAGGACAGCCAAUAUUUUGGCCCUGGCCCCUCAAGGUCAACAAAGUUCCAGGACAUGAGGGAACCUUCUCUACAGGGUCCUACAUCUUUGGAGGCUUCCAAAAACUGAGAGAUACAGGAAUCAAACUGUCCUGGCCUUGAAUUUAAAGGAGAAGUCAGGUUCAUAGUAACACUACACUCAUCGGAACGAUUGAGGGCAUUCACCAGCCAGACAGUCACAGAGUUCAUCAUGGCAGGGUACCAGCCAGUACGGCAAAAGGAAGAGGUCCCCACUUGCCACCGGCCUCAUGAGAUCCAGGUCUAGCCCCGAUCUUCGCCCCUGGUCAGCAGGAAGCAGCUCCAGAAGAAGAGACCUUCGCCCAACUAUCAUACAACAAAAGCCUGGAAUGAUAGGUCUCCCACCACCUCAGCAGCUAUUAUGUACAGUAGCUGCCCUCUUCCUAUGGUGCCUCACCCCCUACCCUGUGUGAUGUCAUGCCAAGAUGGUUGCUCCCACCAAAGAAUAAACCCUUCUUCCCAGCAUGCCCCUGUUCCCACCUAGAAAGUAACCUAAUACUCACCUCCUACAACCUAGUGACAUCACUGGCUCCUCCAUUCCCUAGUCACUACCUCACUCAACCCCACCUCAGCCCCUACAAACCCCACCCCAGUCUCUAUAAAAGACUCUCCCUGCCCCGGCCAUAUUGCUUUUGUCUCUCCUUUGUUCAGAGACAGCCCGGCAGAUCUAUUCCCCUAAUAAAGGCUUGCUGUGGCCUGGUCUGGUCUUGGUCUUUGGCCCUUUUACCUGACACCAUCUUAAUUGUAUAUAAAUCUAAAACUCGUAAUAUAUACAAGCUGUACUAUGAGUUGUUGUUUUUUUGGUUUUUCUUUCUUUUGGUACCGGGGAUUGAACUCAGGACCUUGUGCUGGUGAGGCAGGCAUGGUGCCACUGAGCUAAAUCCCCGGCCCUUCAAGCUCUGUUAUGUACACGUAGCCACUCCUCAAAUGAUUGUGAACUGCACAAUAAAAAUAAACAACAAUGUAAACUGCAGGCCUAAUUUCUAACACUGAAUCUCCCACCCUCAGCCAUGAUAGAACCCUAAAUGUAUUCCUAAACCUCAACCAAAUCCCAACAAAAACCACAACCCAAACUGCACCUUGCCCCUUCGUCCUAAGCCACUUCCUCACCCUAACUGUAGCGAAACUUUGAGGAUGCGACCUCACUUCCUUG
rnacentral:lncRNA from 1 species